GCUGCUGUAGCUCAGUGGUAGAGCGCACCCUUGGUAAGGGUGAGGUCGGGAGUUCAAUCCUCCCAGCAGCACCA
rnacentral:tRNA from 1 species